rnacentral:rRNA from 1 species
GUAGGUGGCAAGCGUUGUCCGGAAUUAUUGGGCGUAAAAGCGCGCGCAGGCGGGGUCCUUUAAGUCUGAUGUGAAAAGCCCACGGGCUCAACCGUGGAGGGUCAUUGGAAACUGGGGGACUUGAGUACAGAAGAGGAAAGCGGAAUUCCAAGUGUAGCGGUGAAAUGCGUAGAGAUUUGGAGGAACACCAGUGGCGAAGGCGGCUUUCUGGUCUGUAACUGACGCUGAGGCGCGAAAGCGUGGGGAGCAAACAGGAUUAGAUACCCUGGUAGUCCACGCCGUAAACGAUGAGUGCUAAGUGUUAGGGGGUUUCCGCCCCUUAGUGCUGCAGCUAACGCAUUAAGCACUCCGCCUGGGGAGUACGGCCGCAAAGGCUG